rnacentral:rRNA from 1 species
UAGGGAAUCUUCCACAAUGGGCGAAAGCCUGAUGGAGCAACGCCGCGUGUGUGAUGAAGGGUUUCGGCUCGUAAAACACUGUUGUAAGAGAAGAAUGACAUUGAGAGUAACUGUUCAAUGUGACGGUAUCUUACCAGAAAGGAACGGCUAAAUACGUGCCAG